UGGGCAGCUCACCAGCAGAAGAGCUGGAGGGGAGCAGAAUGCUUGGACCACUCCUCUCCACCCCUUCUUAUACAUGCCCCUCAUCACCCACCCUUCUGACCAGCCACCCAAUGGGAUUGAUUCCUCCCUUUCCUAAUAUGUAAGAGAGAAAUCAGAUCCAUCAUGGAAAAAGAGCAACCCAAGCGAGGGAAGGGUAAGGAAGAUGGCGAAUUCCAGGAACGAACAGAGAAGAGCUGAGGAGAAAACUGCCAGAUCACCUCACUUCUCUUUGGGAGCUCUCCUGGAGUUGUUGGUCUGAGGGAAAACUCUGAGACAGAAGACCUUUCUGAGCAUUGAUCACCUCUCAGUGAACCCCAAACCGCUGGUAUCCAGCUGAAGAUAAAGGAUUGGAUAGGACUUUGUUAGAGAGCCAUUCACCCAAGAAAAACUCUCUCCAUUACCUAAAAUUUGUCCUUUGAACUUCAUGCUACAAUUAGGUUAGACAGAAGUCAGGACAGAUCUCAUAACUGAUGAAGGAGGGUCAGGCAGACAGCCUGAAUCCUCAGGAUUAGGGGAGGGGGUCAGUUGUUAGCUCACAGGGAUUUCCCAUUUCCCACUUUCCUUAUCCAACAACCCCCCUCUUACUGUCUUGUGUGUCCCUUUGGAAUAAAAGAGUUAUUCCUCUUA